CCCUCACUUCCGGUACGCGCUGCUCCGCCAAUCGGAAGGCGGCGCGGCGCGGGGAGACUGGGAGGGGGUAGCCCCUAGGGCCAGGGGCGCGUGGGCAGGCGCCGUGACAGGAGGGCCCCGAUUGGCCGGCGGGUGUUGUGCCUCGGCAGGGGUCCCACGUGGCAGCCGCCGGAGGUGACGUUCCCCUAGGAGCCCCAGGGGGCGGGGCCAAGACCUGGCUCUGGUCGUUCCCCGCACUGGUUCCUGCCCGGCUCCCCCCGCCCGCCUUCGGGGCCGCGUGCGGCCGCCCCCCUGCAGGUGCGUGGUCCAGAAGCACCGGGGGGUUUCUGACCUGCACGCCAAAAAGAAUCAGGGCAGCGCCGCCCAAACCCGAGCCUGGCCAGCUACAGCCACACUGCGGCUGUCAACCCGGCUCCCUGCCGCAGCUGCACCUCCCAGAGGCUCCUAGACCACAAGCCCUUUUGAGGUAAAAAACACCUUCCUCGGUCCCUGGAAAAAUGGAGCAGGUCCUCAAGGAAUCCAUUUCUAAGCACUUGCAGAAAGUGAUUAGGAACAGUCAGCAUGGAUUCACCAAGGGCAAGUCAUGCCUGACCAACCUGACUGCCUUCUAUGGUGAGAUGAGUGGCUCUGUGAAUGCAGGGAAAGCAAUGGACGUGAUAUACCUUGACUUCAGCAAGGCUUUUGAUACAGUCUCUCACAACAUUCUCACAAGCAAGCUGAGGAAGUACAGGUUGGAUAAAUGGACUGUAACAUGUAUAGAAAGCUGUCUGGAUCAUCAGGCUCAAAGGGUAGUACUCAAUAGCUCAAUAUCUAGUUGGCAGCUGCUAUCAAGUGGAGUGCCCCAGGGGUUAAUCCUGGGGCCAGUUUUGUUUAGUAUCUUCCUCAACAACCUGGAAGAUGGGAUGGAGGGCACCCUCAGCAAAUCUGCAGAUGUCAUUAAGAUGGGGGAAAUAGUAGAUAUGCUGAAGGGUAGGGCUAGGAUUCAGAGACCUAGACAAAUUGAAGUGCUAGAUCAAAAGAAAUCUCAAUAAGGACAACUGCAGAGUCCUGCACUGAGGACUGAACAAUCCCAUGCACAAGUACAGGCUGGAAAUUGACUGGCUAAAAAGCAGCUCUGGAGAAAAUGACCUAGGGGUUACAGUGAACAAUAAACUGAAUAUGAGCCAA